rnacentral:rRNA from 1 species
AUUGAACGCUGGCGGCAGGCUUAACACAUGCAAGUCGAGCGGGGGAAGGUAGCUUGCUACUGGACCUAGCGGCGGACGGGUGAGUAAUGCUUAGGAAUCUGCCUAUUAGUGGGGGACAACAUAUCGAAAGGGAUGCUAAUACCGCAUACGUCCUACGGGAGAAAGCAGGGGAUCUUCGGAACUUGCGCUAGUAGAUGAGCCUACGUCGGAUUAGCUAGUUGGUGGGGUAAAGGCCUACCAAGGCGACGAUCUGUAGCGGGUCUGAGAGGAUGAUCCGCCACACUGGGACUGAGACACGGCCCAGACUCCUACGGGAGGCAGCAGUGGGGAAUAUUGGACAAUGGGGGGAACCCUGAUCCAGCCAUGCCGCGUGUGUGAAGAAGGCCUUAUGGUUGUAAAGCACUUUAAGCGAGGAGGAGGCUACUUUAGUUAAUACCUAGAGAUAGUGGACGUUACUCGCAGAAUAAGCACCGGCUAACUCUGUGCCAGCAGCCGCAGUAA